ncrna:unclassified sequences eL15-Euryarchaeota ribosomal protein leader
CCUGUUCGGCAGCCGCCACAGGGAUGGAAUGUGGGCCCUCGAGGCCUGAACCAACGA